rnacentral:rRNA from 1 species
UGCNAGCAUUAGUUGGGUACUUCUAAAGGAACCGACGGUGAUAAGCCGGAGGAAGGUGAGGGAUGACGUCAAGUCCUCAUGGCCCUUACGCGUUGGGCUACACACGUGCUACAAUGGCGACUACAGUGGGCAGCCACCUCGCGAGAGGGAGCUAAUCUCCAAAAGUCGUCUCAGUUCGGAUCUUUCUCUGCAACUCGAGAGCGUGAAGGCGGAAUCGCUAGUAAUCGCGGAUCAGCAUGCCGCGGUGAAUACGUUCCCAGGCCUUGUACACACCGCCCGUCCCGCCCGCCCA